rnacentral:rRNA from 1 species
GCGAACGCUGGCGGCAGGCCUAACACAUGCAAGUCGAACGGAUCCUUCGGGAUUAGUGGCGGACGGGUGAGUAACACGUGGGAACGUGCCUUUUGGUUCGGAAUAGCUCCUGGAAACGGGUGGUAAUGCCGAAUGUGCCCUUCGGGGGAAAGAUUUAUCGCCAUUAGAGCGGCCCGCGUCUGAUUAGCUAGUUGGUGAGGUAAAGGCUCACCAAGGCUACGAUCAGUAGCUGGUCUGAGAGGAUGACCAGCCACAUUGGGACUGAGACACGGCCCAAACUCCUACGGGAGGCAGCAGUGGGGAAUCUUGCGCAAUGGGCGAAAGCCUGACGCAGCCAUGCCGCGUGAAUGAUGAAGGUCUUAGGAUUGUAAAAUUCUUUCACCGGGGACGAUAAUGACGGUACCCGGAGAAGAAGCCCCGGCUAACUUCGU